UACGAAGGGGGCUAGCGUUGCUCGGAAUCACUGGGCGUAAAGGGUGCGUAGGCGGGUUUUCAAGUCAGAGGUGAAAUCCUGGAGCUCAACUCCAGAACUGCCUUUGAUACUGGGAAUCUUGAGUAUGGAAGAGGUGAGUGGAACUGCGAGUGUAGAGGUGAAAUCCGUAGAUAUUCGCAAGAACACCAGUGGCGAAGGCGGCUCACUGGUCCAUAACUGACGCUGAGGCACGAAAGCGUGGGGAGCAAACAGG
rnacentral:rRNA from 1 species